rnacentral:sRNA from 2 species
UGAGGUCGAUGGUUCGAGUCCAUUUAUGCCCAUUGACCGUAAGGUCGAUAUGGGGAAUUAGCUCAGAUGGGAGAGCACCUGCUUUGCAAGCAGGGGGUCAGCGGUUCGAUCCCGCUAUUCUCCAUUGGUGCGAGAGCAUCAAGAUAACUUGUUCUUUGAAAACUAGAUAUUAUCAAUUAUUUUCCUUUAAUUAUUAAAGAUAAUUAAACCGAGAACACCGCGUUUAUUUUGAGUUUUUUAAUUAGUUUUAAAAUUCGCUAAUACUCGAUUAAUCGUUCAUCACGACGUGAUGAAUAGGUUAAGUUAUGAAGGGCGCAUGGUGAAUGCCUUGGUACUAGGAGCCGAUGAAGGACGGGACUAACACCGAUAUGCUUCGGGGAGCUGUACGUAAGCUUUGAUCCGGAGAUUUCCGAAUGGGGAAACCCAAUCAUCUUUACCGAUGAUUACAACUUGACGAAUACAUACUCAAGUUGAGGCAGACGUGGGGAACUGAAACAUCUAAGUACCCACAGGAAGAGAAAGAAAAUUCGAUUCCCUAAGUAGCGGCGAGCGAACGGGGAACAGCCCAAACCAAUGAGCUUGCUCAUUGGGGUUGUAGGACUGAACAUUUGAGUUACCAAAGUCAGUGAUAACCGAAGUGUCUGGGAAGGCACGGCAGAGCGGGUGAUACCCCCGUAGGUGAAAUCACUGACCCUCAGUUCAGGAUCCUGAGUACGGCCAGACACGUGAAACCUGGUCGGAAUCCGGGAGGACCAUCUCCCAAGGCUAAAUACUCCCUAGUGACCGAUAGUGAACCAGUACG